GCAUAUCAUUGGUGAAGGACGAAAGGCAAGCUGUGCGCGUUAUUGGACAUCAAAGCGUGAUGCUGGAGCCUUGAUCUACAGGAAUAGAAACAAGCCUUGCCUAGCACUGAGACCUUAAACCCUCCAAGGAACCAUCCAAGCUGGGCAACACCCCUGAAUUCACUAGGAGGGCAGAGGCAAAUCCCAUCCAAACAAGGAAGGGGAGGAAGAUGCAUUGCAAAAUUAUGGCUGGGUCACGUGAGUCAAGAAUACAUGCACAGAUACAUUUUUGACUGGAAGGCCCAGCUCAGAAACGUGGUGCCUGCAUUUUAGUGCUUAUGCACUCUUCCUGGAAGAGAGAACUUGAAAAACAUGAACAGAAAACGCCUGGUAAAAGUCGUAACCGGCUCUGACUGUCCAUGGUGUAACAGCCAACAAAUAUCACCUGCUGAUGAUUUACAGAUUCCUGGGAGAUGUGGUGUUGAGUUCUCAAAGAACUGGAACAAGAACAACUCACCCAAUAUGCUUCUCGGGAAACAGUGUAAUGUAUCCACCCGCUUCAUGCUCUCCUAAUUUAGGACAUGUGUAGUGUGUAAUGAUGAACUGGCCAACUGGUUAUGUUCCUGUAAAUCUCAUUCCCCACCUUGCAAAACACCCUUGAUUGACCCCUUCUUUCAUGAAAGCUCAGCCCAAGGUUUCUAAUCCACCUCUUGGGAGGGAGACACAUCACCCUGUUCGCGAAUGCACUUCUCUAGAGAGAAAAAUGCAAUGUUUUGUUGUUUUUAUUUCAUUGGGCGGCCUUUUCAAGUUCUGUGACCCACUUUUGCUUCCCUUUAAACUGUGACCAGUAUUUAUUUAUCCCUUUUUAAACACAAUAAUUUAAUUAAGAAACUAAUCAGCAGUGUUGAGAUGAUCUUUGAACUACACCCCUAUCACUGAAGGAUAUUUAUGAAUGCAUUACACAAGAAAGAUCCUAUUAUCUAAAAAGCUUUCUACUAAAAGGAUUUGGCAUCUGCAAAGUAAGACUUGAAAUUCUGUGCUAAAUUUAUAAUGUAGAGAUGUGAACAUUAUUUAUAGAGUCUGAAAGGUAUUCCAACUGAAUCUGACAAGUUUGCCUGGAUUGUUUACUAAAAAUAAAACUGUUUCAAGUUCAAAGGAUUUCAGAAGUGAGUUAGAUAUUUAGGAGUCCAAAGGACAGAUUGUAAAGGUAGCUGUGUAGCAGAUAGAGGUUUAAUGAUCUAGGCUGCCUCUUCAGUCAGUGGAGAGAGAUUGGCAUGUUCCGGUUAUGUUCCAUUUUCGUAGGCACUUAUCUUCAGAUGGGAAUUUAUUGGCUGAUCAUCUCAGCAGGGCAUUAACAGGGCAUCUGUAGUUAAUCAUUAUCAUCAUUGGCCAAUUCCAGUUCCCUCAGCUUCAGAUCAAGAGAACGUUUCGGAAAGCUACCUGGGAUGUAGGCACUUUGGGCAGAAAGUGACCAGAUCCAAAAAAGAGAGUCCCACCUGUGCAGUCUUGUUCAACCCUAGGAACUGAGCUGUUGCUGGCUGUGUAACAGGACAGAUUCAACAGAACUAUCUCCUCCCCACCAGCCGCGUGCUAAGUGAACAUCAGCACUAGAGGACCUAAUUCGUAAGUCCCAAAUGGCUUCUGGGGUAUGAAGGCUCCAGGACAUUUGGCCCAACGUAGUCAAGACAGCAGAAGAAUUAAAGGUGCCUCAGUGAGUGGUCUGGAGGAGGACCCAGUGGUUAGGGGAGGGACAGAAGAUCACUUACUUGCUGUCAGGCCUCUCUGCUCCAUCUGAGUGGCACUGUGGGCACCUAACUGGAGGCUUAGAUCCAGUCCUUUGUCCUCUAUGGGCUUGAACUGACAGGUGGAGGUAACCAACUGGUUCUAUCCAAAUGCAGGUCUGGAGUCAGGGUCUGAUAGGUGGAAUUAAUGAGCGGCACAUGUGAAGCCUUGUUUUCUAUGGCUUUGGAUCUUGUGAUGGAAUUAUCCUGUGUCUAAGAAGGUACGAGCUCUAUUCCAAGGUUUGGCUGUGCUUGGGAAAUUCCUCAAAGUGCUUGCCUCUGGGGAUUCUCUGGUGACUAAUAAAUACGAUAAAAGAGUUCUUCUUAGAGGUCUCUUUUGUUAAGAGCACUACAAUUAUUUCCUGUAUUGCCUUCUUACUUUCACAAUAUUUGUGGAAUUUCAUCUUUUAUCUCUUAGUCCUCUAGUAGGUUGACUUGAAAUGUGCCAACAGGUUCAAAAGGCUUUGGUGUGGGGAGAGAAUAUAGAUAGACAGAGGCUGACAUGUAGCGCUUUCCCAAGAAAAGUAAAAUAAAAAGGGCAUAGUGUCUGUCCUAUGAAGCUUACUGUAUCUCUAAAGGAUGGGCAAAACACAAGAGUAUGGACUGAGAGGGGUAUAGUAUAUUAAGGACUCAUGUCAGAAAGACUGGGGAAUUCUUUUAGCAACUUGAUGAGACCCCCAGUUAAGUUUGCCACUAUCUACACUGCUGGGGUCUAUUGACAUGAGCUUGCUCAGAGGUAUGAUGCAGUAAUUAAUAUCCUCGCACUUUCCAUUGCCUCAUUUGCUUAGUUAUGUAUUAUAUACUCCACAUGGGUUCUGUAGGGAAAAGAGAAAUAAAGAUGAGAAUAAAGAUUAAAAGAAAGGACUGCCAUUUUUUCCAUGAAGAGCAGAUUGCAAGAGUGUGGCAUUUUUCCCACACAUCUUGAAUAGUUUUGGGCUUGGGCUUUUUGAGGAGUUUUUAAUUAAUUUAUUGUUUAAGUAACUAUAAUGAGAAGAGCCCCUGCCACACUGAUUCUAAUGAGGAUUGCAUGUGCUCUGUGUCUUUCUCAUUGUGGCCUGUAUCGUUUAAAUAUCUUAACCAACAUGUGCUGUGGCAGAUUUCACUUAUAUCUGCUUAAAUUAAAGCUUGUCAGUUUAGGAGCUAAGAAACAUACAAAUAUUUGAGAGUGAUUUGACAUUCACUGCUGAAAUCAUUGCACUAAGUAUCUGGCAUCAAUGACAUUACUUGAGAAGGGUUAGAAAUUCUUGCUGUGUUGUACAGGCUGGACAUUCUGGACUUGAAGAAAAAUGUACUUCACCUUCUGUGUUCGUAAUUAAGGUCUUCACCAAAAUUUCAGCUUGUUUUUCUUCUGUAUUUUCUCUGAGCAAUAUGUGACUGUUUGAGUUCCUCAAAGUUGCUGCUAGGAGAACAAACAGUACCAGUAUCUCAGAAGUAGUUGGAGUAAUAGCACGAUCUAGCUGUAAAAGGAAUGGCAUUUCCUUAUGUUCUCAUCCCCCAGAAAUGCAAGGGAAGAUGGCGCUGUGCUGGAAGAGUCUGAUGGAACCUUGGAUAUUUGAACAGCUUCAGCCACAGGAGAUGAAGCUUAAUUUCCCAUGUGCAUGUAUUUUUAAUUCUUGUGGAUCACUGUAGCAAAACACCAUGCUGUAUGUAGUAUGUAUGGCAGUGUAAGGCACGCAAACUUUUCUGAGCUGGAAAUUACUUGCUUGCUGACACACCGAAGUCAAACUUGGGUAUUAAUACAGAGGUAUUACACGUCUAAAUUUAAUCUCAAUUGUAACGUAAUUGUAGUGGUACUUAAUUGGCCAUUACAAAAGGGACCAGAACCCAAAUAUUCCAAUACCAGCAGAGAGUCCUUGCUACCACAUGUAGAGUUGCUUUCUUUUCUCAUACAGGAUCAGUGAAUAUGUGCAGGCAAACAAUUUCAGUGCAGGUAGGAUCAUAGGAUAAUUCAGGUUGGAAAACAUCUCAGGAGGUCUCUAGUCCAACGUCCUGCUCUAAGCGGGACCAGCCAUGAGAUGAGACCAGGUUGCUCAGGGCUUUAUCUAGGUGGGCCUUGAAAACCUCCAAGGAGGCUGCACAGCCUUUGGGCAACCCUGAUUUUCCUCGUGGGGGGGGGAUAAAUAUCCUUAUAGCCAGUAUGAACUUCUCUUGUUUCAAUUUAUGCCUUGUCUUCCCACCACACACCACUGUGAAGAUCUUGGCUUUGUCUUCUUGAUGACCUCCUCGCUCAGCAACGGGGUGCUCUGCUGACCGCCAGCUUCUGAUGACUGAGAUGCAGAGAGGAGGCCCAGUCAGUGUUCUCACAUCUUUGAUGGUAUAAAGGCAAGUAAUGGAUGUUAAAUACAGUGUUUCCUUUUCCAAAGUCUGUGUAUUGGCCUAUUCCCUCAGUUGCAUCAUUCCUUUCAAACCAUUUUUUUUGUUCAACCUCAGACUGCUGGGUUUCCUACUGUUCAAAGAUUCUGAGAGUUGGGGGGAGGCAACAUUUUGUUUGAUCUAUAUUGGUUUAUCUUGUUUGCAACUAGGCACAGGAAAAAACACUACUUCCCACAGAGGCUUUCAUUGUCCCAUUUUCCAUAGUUUAGUCCUCAUUUCCUUUAGGAUCUGACUUCUAGCCAUAAUCAUCUGCGGUUAUAACUUGGCUGUUUCAGGCUGUAUUCCUUUAAUAUUUCUUAUUUCUUGUCAAACUUUGCGUAAGCAGUGGUACAAGCCCUGAGCACAUCCUGCUCUGCAUACUCUCAUCAGAGCCAUGGGAGAAGAGUCACAAACUCAGGUCCUGGCCCUGCUACCUGUUCACUCUCCGUUGUGUUGGCUCCAAGUAUUGUCCCUUGCGAGUGACAUACAGCCCGCUGUCAUGUCCAGGUCACUAGCUUUGAAGGAGCAGUAACCUGCCCCUCCACCAACUAAGCUCAACCUAGGUGAAGGUCAGAUCUGUCAUGCAGGGCUAUUUAUAGUUAGAGUGAAGCCGCAAAGGAAGUGGUGGGCAGAACACUGGUGGGGAAGCUGGAGCUGACAGAGCUGAACCAGUUUUUGUAGCACUUGAGCUUUCCUGUAGGGGAAUUUUGCUUUGUGUUUGAACUCAGGAUAGGUCCAAGCAGAGGUGUUGUUUAAUUAAGCAGAAACCAUAUAGAGAGGAGUGGGUUCCUUCACCCCAAAACGUUGUGCAACUCUACCUCUUCGACUGCACUCCUCCGUGCUGUGGACUCACCUCUGUGAUCCUCUCCCUUUACUCCAGCUCGCCCAGUUUCAGGCCUAGAAUAAUCCCUGUUGGCAGCCUCCUGUAGCACCGGAGUGCUGAGUGUUUCAGGCUGACUGCUAAAUCUUCACUUUCUGGAUAAGAAAACUGAUAUAUAGAAUGAUGAAAUUAUAUGGCUCCCUGUGCUUUGCAGAACUGCUAUUUACUGUUGCCUGGGCCCCUGUUGACUGAAAAGCUUAGGAGGGGCUCAGGAACUUUGUACAUUCAGGGUUCCUCUGAAUUUUGUUCUCACUGAUAUUAUUCAAUUAAUUAGUUUCCUCUGAAGAGUUGGACAGGCUUUCUCCUGCUUUAGUGCUGCACAUUAAUGCUUAUGCACAUAAUAUGGCUUUAAGAAAAGAUGAAUUGGUGAGUAGUCUGGAAACCUGAGGCACAUUGCCCUUUUGAGUAAUGAUUCUGCAUAUGGAAGGGGGAGGAAAAUAUUGCUAUAGGGCCUCUGUGACCUGUUCAUGGGUAAAUAAUUAUUUAGAAAACAUUGAUUUGGAAUGAAAAGUCAGCUCAGAGGCCUGACGGUUAUACAGCAGUCCACAGGGUUAAUCUGGGAAGAUUUUGAAGUCAGUCAAAAAGCAAAUUCAUCCCUGAACAAAACUGCCCUGGUUAAGUUUUUAUUUUGGGAAAUAGAGAGAAAAACAAAGCAAUGUUGAUUGCUGUAGGUGGAGAAAAGCAUCCUCCAGGCUUGUGACAUUUUUAAGACACAAAAUUUUGUACAUCACAUGGAUCAAGCCCAAUGCUCUAUGUAUGCAUGUGAACAAUAUCCUUUUGAGUGACGAGCGUGUAAGCUUUGCUAGAGUUUCCAGCACAUGAAAGACUUAAAAAUGGACUCAUCUAAGUUUUUAUGGCAUGCUGUGUAAGCCAGCAAAGUGGGGUUGGAGGGUCAGGCAAGGCACACCUGGGAAGGCAGAGGUCUCCCAGUAAUCUUUAUUUUCUUCGAUGUCUGCUUUUCUCGGCUCCCAUUUCCCAAAUGGAAAAUGGGGAUAAUGCCAAGGUCCAAUGGACAGUGUCUGCUUUAUUUGUUCUCAGUUUAUAGGUUAGAUUUCUUUUUAAAAAGACAUAGUUGGCUCAGCUGCAGCUCUUGUGAGAGGAAGAUGGGUACUCCUACCCUUUAUAUCCAUGCAGUAGUGUCAAGGAGGAGGUGAUUUCACAGAAGAGGUAGGAUAUGGCAGACAGAGGAGCAACCACUCAGUAAGAGAGGCUUCCAGUCCGGUGGGCAGGUUGGGAGGUAGCAGAGAAGCAAGAAGUGGUAUCACAAUCAAGUGUCUUUGGGAUGGGAAGAAGAAGCUUCAUAGGGACCAGAAGGGACUAUGCAUGGCUUGCUGCAGCCCAAAUAUUGACUGAAUUGAAUGAAACCAGGCUAGAACCCAUCCUUGUAAGGAUGCAGUGGGCAGGGAGAAACUGAUUUAAGUUAUUCGUUUUAUGGUGAUUGUGUUUGACCCAGUCAGCGCAGUUUACACUGCUUUGAGAAGUUAAGGAUUCUAAUUUAUAUUCUAGUAAAAUCCAGUUGGUUUAUGUUCAAAAGCCUUGCUUAUUUCUUUUCAGGGGCUCUGGAUAAUGGAGGUUUACCUGCCAAAUUGGGAUCUCAUAACACAAGGAUGCUUUUCUUUGCAAGAUGAUUUGGUGUUCUUGGAGUGAAAAGUACCAUAGAAGAGUGAAAUCGUAGUUAUUGAACUGCUGAAUACUCACUCGGGUCUAGAAGCCCAUUUUCUGCACUCUUGUGCAGCUUCACCCUGCUGAUGAGAGCCUUGCCAAAUUCUGCAGAGAUUGUAAGAAGUUAGUCCUUGAAGGUAUGCUAUUCCCUGCUGAUACUGAAUACAAGCAAAAGCAACAAAGAUUCUGCUUGUCUUUGCUGAAGUGGAAACAUCUUCAGUCAAUUAAACCAUUAAAAUUAUCUUUUGUUCUUUGAUCCCUUUUUGUUCCCAUCUGUCCCUUUGUUAUAUCCUUUCUGAUGCUGAAGUGAAGGUUCUUUGGAGACAGGGCCACCUCUGCUUCUGUGCCUCUGGAGGUGGGCAGAUCACCGCACGGUGCUGCUAUGGAAUGGUUUCCAUCAACUCCAGGUCCCAGUGAGGUGUAUAAUUCUCCAUAAAUGGAGAAGCAACUUUCCAGGCUUUACCCAAAAGAAACACACAAAAGAAAAUGUGCAAUAUAUGGUUUUCUUUCUUUUGAUCCCUUUUUCCAUAGAUGGUGCAUGUCAAAUUUAACUCAAAUAGUCCCAGUGAGAUCCAGUUUAUUAGCUGUAAUAAUUUAUAUGUCUCACAGACUUAAACCUCCCUUCUUGCCCAUUCCUGCAGAAGUCACUAUACUAAAUUCCCAAAACAUAGUCUGAGCCUAUGCAGACAUCAAGAUCCCAGUGAUUGGAAUAUGUUGUUUAAGUCAGUGGGAAUUCUGGAAGUAUCUUAUCACUCAAAGUCAGCUAUUUAUUGUAAGUAGUAAUAUUCAUUCUUAUUAAUUAUGGCUAUAGAAUUAUGUUGGGCCUUGUCCAUUUUUUAAUGUUUUAGGCAGUGCUCCAUGACACUUUGACCAACAUUUAGAAAAAUGGCCUGUAUGUCUUUUUCUCAGAGCAAAUAAAUUAAUUUUUAUGGAAUGGAAGUGGAGGGUAGAACUGAAUAAGCUAGUUGCAAUGGAAAUAGUCUUUCAAAACAUUGGAAAAGUUAGACACUCGCAAUAGCAUGUGGUCUAAUUUCCUGAACCUGUGAGAAAGGACAUGAAUUAUUAUAUAGCUUACUGCUGAACAUAUGCUUACUUCCUCAUGUAUGUAGAAGGCAAGGGUGGAAUAUGUGCGUGAAUCAGGUCCAGCAUUUCUCAUUUUGUCUCUUACAAGUUCAAAACCAAAGCAGACAUUGUGAAUGACAAAAAGGCAUGCCAAGAAGUGAGCCAGAGCAAUUUAGAAUAGCCUAGAUGCUUCUAAACUGGACUGGACAAGAAGAAAAGUAACUUUUGCUAGCAGAUACCUUUCUAAUUUGUCAGUAGCUUUUAUUUUGUUUUAAAAAAUCUUGUCAGAAGCUUUGGAGUUAUAUUUUUUUCAGUCUGUACCAAAAUGGUCAAUGCUGUAAUUUUGUGUAAGAACCAUACUCAUCCGCUGCUCCUCUGGCACAGCAGUCUUUCUCCAGUAUUCCUGUACUUUUUUCACAACA